GCUCAGUUAGUGGACCAUCUGACUCUUAAUCUCAAGGUUGUGGGUUCAAGUUCCACAUUGGGCA
rnacentral:tRNA from 1 species